UUUUCAAAAACAUGUCUUUUAAGAUUUAUAAUUAAAGGUCGGGCCUGCCCUAUGAGAUUUUAAAUGGCCGCGGUAUUUUGACCGUGCUAAGGUAGCAUAAUCAUUAGUUUCUUAAUUAGAAGCUGGAAUGAAGGGUUUGAUGAAAAAAUUUCUGUCUCAAUUUUAUAUUUUUGAAUUUUAUUUUUAAGUAAAAAAGCUUAAAUUUUAAUAAAAGACGAGAAGACCCUAUAGAGUUUAAUAUUUUUGCAUAAAAAUAUUGAAAUGAGGAAUUAUUUCUAAUUUGUGUAAAUAUAUUUAAUUGGGGUGAUUUAAAAAUUAAGUUAACUUUUUGUAAAUUUAAACAUUAAUAUAUGAAAAUAAAAUGAUCCUAAAAUUAAUUUAGAUUAAAAGAAUAAAUUACCUUAGGGAUAACAGCGUGAUUUUUUCUAAGAGUUCUAAUCGAAGAAAAAGAUUGCGACCUCGAUGUGGGGAUUAAAA
rnacentral:rRNA from 1 species